UGGUUAUCAUCACUUUUGCUAAGAAGAGAACAUACAGAUCUAGAGUUCGAUUCGUCCCGAAAUUUUGGAACUUUUUAAAUUGAAAUGCGAUCUACAUUUUGUGCAGCUAUGGAAUGUAUUUACGCAGAUGUUUUCACAAAGGAUUUAUACUAAUAACUACAGCCUGUGGCACACUUUUUGUUGUUUUUCUCUGAAUCAAUAAAAUGUUGUGCCACAAUUGGCAAUUUCUCCAAAG